rnacentral:rRNA from 1 species
CAGUAGCCGCGGUAAUACGUAGGGUCCGAGCGUUGUCCGGAAUUAUUGGGCGUAAAGGGCUCGUAGGCGGUUUGUCGCGUCGGGAGUGAAAACCAGCAGCUUAACUGCUGGCCUGCUUUCGAUACGGGCAGACUUGAGGCAUUCAGGGGAGAACGGAAUUCCUGGUGUAGCGGUGAAAUGCGCAGAUAUCAGGAGGAACACCGGUGGCGAAGGCGGUUCUCUGGGAAUGUUCUGACGCUGAGGAGCGAAAGUGUGGGGAGCGAACAGGAUUAGAUACCCGGGUAGUCCCUGUCUCUUAUAC